UGGCACAGUUGGUAGAGCGUGGUGUUUGCAACGCCAGGGUUGUGGGUUCGAUUUCCAC
rnacentral:tRNA from 1 species